GUAGAUUGGGAAACUCUUCAAAUUAUUAUGAAAUGCCGAGCAAACCUUGAUGCCUAAUGGCGGGCCUCAGCUGCCUAUGGCAGAGCCUUCGUGCCGGAGGAUUACAAAGGGCUUCAAGGCCUCAAACCCUGUCAUCUCGGAGUUUCAUCGCAUCCUUUGGUGUGGCCCUUU
rnacentral:sRNA from 1 species